ACAGAGGGUGCGAGCGUUAAUCGGAAUUACUGGGCGUAAAGGGCGCGUAGGCGGCAUGACAAGUCACUUGUGAAAUCUCUGGGCUUAACUCAGAACGGCCAAGUGAAACUGUCGCGCUAGAGUGCGGAAGGGGCAAUCGGAAUUCUUGGUGUAGCGGUGAAAUGCGUAGAUAUCAAGAGGAACACCUGAGGUGAAGACGGGUUGCUGGGCCGACACUGACGCUGAUGCGCGAAAGCCAGGGGAGCAAACGGGA
rnacentral:rRNA from 1 species